GGAUUAGGGUUCGAUUCCGGAGAGGGAGCCUGAGAAACGGCUACCACAUCUAAGGAAGGCAGCAGGCGCGCAAAUUACCCAAUUCUAACAGCAUAAGAGAGGUAGUGACAAGAAAUAACAGUACAAGGCAGUUAAAAUGCUUUGUAAUUGGAAUGAUAGAAAUUUAAACACUUUUUAAAGUAUCAAUUGGAGGGCAAGUCUGGUGCCAGCAGCCGCGGUAAUUCCAGCUCCAAUAGCGUAUAUUAAAAUUGUUGCAGUUAAAAAGCUCGUAGUUGAAUUUCUGCUAAAAAUAACUGGUCUGCUUUUAUUCAUAAAAGUGGUAUCUUGGUGUGUUUUUAGUAAUAAUAUCUUCAGAAAUGUUUUUUACUUUAUUGUAAAAAGCAAUAUUCAGGAUUUUUACUUUGAGAAAAUUAGAGUGUUUCAAGCAAGCUAACGUUUUGAAUACUGCAGCAUGGAAUAAUAAAAUAGGAUUUUGGUUCUACAUUAUUGGUUUUAAGAACUAAAUUAAUGAUUGAUAGGAACAGUUGGGGGCAUUUGUAUUUAACUGUCAGAGGUGAAAUU
rnacentral:rRNA from 1 species